rnacentral:rRNA from 1 species
AUACGGAGGGUGCAAGCGUUAAUCGGAAUUACUGGGCGUAAAGAGUACGUAGGUGGUUUGUUAAGUCAGAUGUGAAAGCCCCGGGCUCAACCUGGGAACUGCAUUUGAAACUGGCAAACUAGAGUAUGGUAGAGGGGGGUAGAAUUUCUAGUGUAGCGGUGAAAUGCGUAGAUAUUAGAAGGAAUACCAGUGGCGAAGGCGGCCACCUGAACCAAUACUGACACUGAGGUACGAAAGCGUGGGUAGCGAACAGGAUUAGAAACCCUAGUAGUCC